rnacentral:rRNA from 1 species
UACGUAGGGGGCAAGCGUUGUCCGGAUUUAUUGGGCGUAAAGAGCGUGUAGGCGGCUAUGCAGGUCCGUUGUGAAAACUCGAGGCUCAACCUCGAGACGCCGAUGGAAACCGCAUGGCUAGAGUCCGGAAGAGGAGAGUGGAAUUCCUGGUGUAGCGGUGAAAUGCGCAGAUAUCAGGAAGAACACCCGUGGCUAAGGCGGCUCUCUAGUACGGUACUGACGCUGAGACGCGAAAGCGUGGGGAGCGAACAGG